rnacentral:rRNA from 1 species
GACGAACGCUGGCGGCGUGCCUAACACAUGCAAGUCGAACGAAGCUUGAAUUCAGAUUUCUUCGGAAUGAAGAAUGAUAUGACUGAGUGGCGGACGGGUGAGUAACGCGUGAGCAACCUGCUCUUCGGAGGGGGAUAGUGUCUGGAAACGGACAGUAAUACCGCAUAACGUAUUUUUACCGCAUGAUAGAAAUACCAAAACUGAGGUGCCGAAGGAUGGGCUCGCGUUGGAUUAGAUAGUUGGUGGGGUAACGGCCUACCAAGUCAACGAUCCAUAGCCGGACUGAGAGGUUGAACGGCCACAUUGGGACUGAGACACGGCCCAGACUCCCACGGGAGGCAGCAGUGGGGAAUAUUGCACAAUGGGGGAAACCCUGAUGCAGCAACGCCGCGUGAAGGAAGACGGUUUUCGGAUUGUAAACUUCUGUUCUUAGUGAAGAAAAAUGACGGUAGCUAAGGAGCAAGCCACGGCUAACUACGUGCCAGCAGCCGCGGUAAUACGUAGGUGGCAAGCGUUGU